rnacentral:misc_RNA from 1 species
GGGUUUCAUGAGAAAAAAUUGCUUUGAUACCAUGUAGAAGAAUAAUUUUCUUAUAUUCUCAAAACAAUUGAAUACAUGUUUAUAUACACUUAAUCCUAUAAUCAUGCUAUCUAAAUAGGAAUAUAAAUCCCUAUGAUUAUGCUUGCUAAAUAGGAAUGUACAGUAGUUGACUUCCUAUUCUAUAACAUUGGUAUACAUCAGUUAAUAGAAUAAUUUGAUGUCAUAUAUUAGAUGGCUAUCCUUUGUUGAGUGUUGAUUAACUCUGCUGAUGACAGACCUCCAAUCACACGGCU